UACAGAGGUGGCAAGCGUUGUUCGGAAUUACUGGGCGUAAAGGGCGCGUAGGCGGUCUUUUAAGUCUUGUGUGAAAUCCCUCGGCUUAACCGAGGAACUGCCUCCCAAACUGCUUGGCUUGAGACCAGGAGAGGUGAGUGGAAUUCCCAGUGUAGCGGUGAAAUGCGUAGAUAUUGGGAGGAACACCAGUGGCGAAGGCGGCUCACUGGACUGGUACUGACGCUGAGGCGCGAAAGCUAGGGGAGCAAACAGG
rnacentral:rRNA from 1 species